GACGUAGGGCGCGAGCGUUGUCCGGAAUUAUUGGGCGUAAAGAGCUCGUAGGUGGCUUGUCACGUCGGGUGUGAAAGCUUGGGGCUUAACUCCAGGUCUGCAUUCGAUACGGGCUGGCUAGAGGUAGGUAGGGGAGAACGGAAUUCCUGGUGUAGCGGUGAAAUGCGCAGAUAUCAGGAGGAACACCGGUGGCGAAGGCGGUUCUCUGGGCCUUACCUGACGCUGAGGAGAGAAAGCGUGGGGAGCGAACAGG
rnacentral:rRNA from 1 species